CUGGUGUUCCACUUUCAUACUCUUUUAGACAACUUUGAAGAACAGUGAUUGACGACAGUCGCAAAAAUAAACGUCCCACAGAGAUUUUCGUGGGGAGGAUGUUCAAGAUGGAGGUGUGGGAGGUGCUGUUAACCUCCAUGAGGAUUGGAGAGGUGGCAGAGUUUUGGUGUGAUGCUAUUAUUUCUCACUGCAACCCAAACAGAGCGUAACAGAAUGUUACACAAUCAAGUGCUACACGCCAGGAAAGAAAUCCUGUUCCCAAUUCUCAGACCAUGCUUUCAAACCUCAACCAAGCGAGACGAGCACACUCCAAUUUUCUGUCUACCUCAGACUGUGUCAAGGCCUACUAUAAGCAAACAAAGGCCUAUGCGGCUGUGUGGAGCGAGAGGGAGGCCAGGUCUCGAUUGGUGCAAAGAGAACAAAGAGAAUGAAGGAAAAAUACUGGGAGGAUAAGAAAGGUACUGGAACAUUGAGAAGACAAGGAAGACAGAGAAAAGGAACCAGAGGAGGAGGA
ensembl:lncRNA